rnacentral:rRNA from 1 species
UAGGGAAUCUUCGGCAAUGGACGAAAGUCUGACCGAGCAACGCCGCGUGAGUGAAGAAGGUUUUCGGAUCGUAAAACUCUGUUGUUAGAGAAGAACAAGGACGUUAGUAACUGAACGUCCCCUGACGGUAUCUAACCAGAAAGCCACGGCUAACUACGUGCCAGCAGCCGCGGUAAUACGUAGGUGGCAAGCGUUGUCCGGAUUUAUUGGGCGUAAAGCGAGCGCAGGCGGUUUCUUAAGUCUGGUGUGCAAGCCCCCGGAUCAACCGGGGAGGGUCAUUGGAAACUGGUAGACUUGAGGGCAGAAGAGGUGAGUUGAAUUCCAUGUGUAGCGGAGAAGUGCGUAGAUAUAUGGAGGAAAACCAGUGGCGAAGGCGGCUCGGUGGUCUGUAACUGACGCUGAGGCUAGAAAGCGUGGGGAGCAAACAGG